GAAAGCGCAGCGAUGGUCGACUCUCUUCUCGGUGGAUCGAAGACAUCAAGCGGGUAGCAGGGAGUCACUGGAUACUGGCACGUGGUGUUUGGAACUACCGGUCUGAAGGGUCGUCAGAGAAGAGGCGGGACCGAUGUACUACCAGGACUAAAGCUACGGGAGUUCGCGCAUCGGUGGCACGCGAGGGGGAGCGCUCUGGACCGUUGACCACCGGUCGAAGGUGAUGAAGAACCAGGCAUGGACUGCGACGGGCAAGCGGAUCUCAACGUCGUGUGUCGUCCAGCCCCAGAAGGGGCAGAGUAAAUGGAGAGGGAGAGUUGGAGGAUCACGGGAAUCGAUGGGCAACGGGCUAGCGACGGGUCCGAGGCAAACAAGCCGCACGUAAUAAGGUCGCGCGCGCGGCGUGGCGGCGCCACCAACGGACGACGCCCCGACGCUUCUAUUACUUCGUAAGCCUAUAUGCAUUGGAAUUACUGUCAUUUUGACAUUGUCAAGGAACAAAAGCAGAUAGUAAGAAGGCGCCAUCGUGAAGGCAAACUUCACAGUGAAGGAAAACAUCGUGAGGAAACCUGCAUACCAGAGAAUUUUCUUAAUUCUCUGCGUGUGUGAAGUCUGCCAAUCCGCAUUGGGCUAGCGUGGUGGAUUAUUGGCCUAACCCCUCUCAUUCUGAGAGGAGAAACGAGCUCAGCAGCGAGCUGAAUAUUGGUUGAUAACGACGAAGAAGGCGCCGCUGUAGAACCAAUCAGUA